rnacentral:rRNA from 1 species
UUGGAGGGCAAGUCUGGUGCCAGCAGCCGCGGUAAUUCCAGCUCCAAUAGCGUAUAUUAAAGUUGUUGCAGUUAAAAAGCUCGUAGUUGAAUUUCGGAAUCAGUGCGCUGGUCGUGCCUCUGGUAUGUACUGGUCUCACUGAUUCCUCCUUCCUGAUGAAUCUUAAUGCCAUUAAUUUGGUGUUUUGGGGAAUUUGGACUGUUACUUUAAAAAAAUUAGAGUGUUUAAAGCAAGCUAACGCUUGAAUACAUUAGCAUGGAAUAAUGAAAUAGGACGUUGAUCUUAUUUUGUUGGUUUCUAGGAUUGACGUAAUGAUUAAUAGGGAUAGUUGGGGGCAUUAGUAUUCAGUUGUCAGAGGUGAAAUUCUUGGAUUUAUUGAAGACUAACUACUGCGAAAGCAUUUGCCAAGGAUGUUUUCAUUAAUCAAGAACGAAAGUUAGGGGAUCGAAGACGAUCAGAUACCGUCGUAGUCUUAACCAUAAACUAUGCCGACUAGGGAUCGGAUGGUGUUAAUUUUUUAAUGACUCAUUCGGCGCCUUACGGGAAAC